GGAAGUACUGGGCGUAAAGGGCGCGUAGGCGGCGCGGCAGGUCAGGCGUGAAAGCCCCGGGCUCAACCUGGGAAUUGCGCUUGAUACGGUCGUGCUGGAGGUUGGGAGAGGAGAGUGGAAUUCCCAGUGUAGAGGUGAAAUUCGUAGAUAUUGGGAAGAACACCAGUGGCGAAGGCGGCUCUCUGGCCCAAUCCUGACGCUGAGGCGCGAAAGCGUGGGGAGCAAAC
rnacentral:rRNA from 1 species